GCCAGACGUGGUGGCGCGCGCCUGUUGUCCCAGCUAACCGGAGGCUGAGGCAGGAGGAUAGCUUGAGCCCGGGAGAUCGAGGCUGCAGUGAGCCGUGAUGGGGCCGCUGCACUCCAGCCUGGGCAACAGAGCAAGACCCUGCCUCGA
rnacentral:SRP_RNA from 1 species